GUCUAUGGCCAUGCCAGCCUGAACAAGCCUGAUCCCGUCUGAUCUUGGAAGCUAAGCAGGGUCGGGCCUGGUUAGCACUUGGAUGGGAGAUCUAGGAAGACCAGGUGCUGUAGGUG
rnacentral:rRNA from 1 species